AUACGGAGGGUGCGAGCGUUAAUCGGAAUUACUGGGCGUAAAGCGUACGUAGGCGGUUGGUUAAGUUAGAUGUGAAAGCCCCGGGCUUAACCUGGGAACUGCAUUUAAAACUGGCGAACUAGAGUUGAGUAGAGGGGAGUGGAAUUUCAGGUGUAGCGGUGAAAUGCGUAGAGAUCUGAAGGAACACCAGUGGCGAAGGCGACUCCCUGGACUCGAACUGACGCUGAGGUACGAAAGCGUGGGUAGCAAACGGGAUUAGAAACCCUGGUAGUCC
rnacentral:rRNA from 1 species